rnacentral:rRNA from 1 species
UACGAAGGGGGCUAGCGUUGUUCGGAUUUACUGGGCGUAAAGCGCGUGUAGGCGGCCAUCUAAGUCGGGCGUGAAAUCCCACGGCUCAACCGUGGAAGUGCACUCGAAACUGGAUGGCUAGAGUCCUGGAGAGGAAGGUGGAAUGCUUGGUGUAGAGGUGAAAUUCGUAGAUAUCAAGCGGAACACCGAUGGCGAAGGCAAUCCCCUGGACCUGUACUGACGCUCAUGCACGAAAGCGUGGGGAGCAAACAGG